AACGAGCGCUGGCGGCGUGCCUAACACAUGCAAGUCGUACGCGAAAGGGGGCAACCCCCGGUAGCGUGGCAGACGGGUGAGUAACACGUGGGUAACCUGCCCGGAGGUGGGGGAUAACCCUUCGAAAGGAGGGCUAAUACCGCAUAACGUCUUGAGAUCCUCGGAUUUCGAGACCAAAGUUGGCCUAUGCUUGCAAGCUAGCGCCACCGGAGGGGCCCGCGUCCCAUUAGCUAGUUGGUGAGGUAACGGCNCACCAAGGCGACGAUGGGUAGCCGGCCUGAGAGGGCGAUCGGCCACACUGGAACUGAGACACGGUCCAGACUCCUACGGGAGGCAGCAGUGAGGAAUCUUGCGCAAUGGGCGAAAGCCUGACGCAGCGACGCCGCGUGGAGGAUGAAGGUCUUCGGAUCGUAAACUCCUGUCGAGCGGGACGAA
rnacentral:rRNA from 1 species